UACGAAGGGGGCUAGCGUUGCUCGGAAUUACUGGGCGUAAAGCGCACGUAGGCGGAUUGUUAAGUCGGGGGUGAAAUCCUGGAGCUCAACUCCAGAACUGCCUUCGAUACUGGCGAUCUCGAGUUCGGGAGAGGUGAGUGGAACUGCGAGUGUAGAGGUGAAAUUCGUAGAUAUUCGCAAGAACACCAGUGGCGAAGGCGGCUCACUGGACCGAUACUGACGCUGAGGUGCGAAAGCGUGGGGAGCAAACAGG
rnacentral:rRNA from 1 species